CCCGGCGAUGAAUCGCCGGGCUAUUUUCUUCCGUCCCUUCGGGACG
rnacentral:sRNA from 1 species